rnacentral:lncRNA from 1 species
UUGGAAUAAGAGGGAAAGAGAGCUUGUAGAAACUGGGCACCAGUCAACAAAAUUAUGUGAGGUGCUGCAUACUCGACCACUGGCACAUCUACCUUCAACAAAAGGAUGCCACCUUGGCAAGGUAUGUAAUAAUCAUCAGACAUUCUUACCUUGUGUGCUCUAGAAGGCUAACUACUUAUUCCUGGAAUUUUAAAACAAUAGCACAUAUUUAUAUACUACAACAUUACUAAGGGGGAAUAUUGUAUGUUGACCAAGAUUCUAUUAACACUAUUAGCUUCUGGUUUAGAUUCAAGGACAAACUCCUGAAUGGGAAAGGAUAGCUAAUGAGGCAGCUAGGACACUUCCAGGAAGAGAGAAUGGAGGAAACUGUGAUAUCAAAAAUCUUAGCAGGGGUUCUAAGAUAUACCUUCCCGUAUUUGUUGAAGGUGCUAAUUUUAGCACAGGAGACAUGCACUUCUCGCAGGGUGAUGGUGAGGUCUCAUUUUGCGGGGCUAUUGAAAUGAGUGGGUUUUUAGAGCUCAGGUGUAUUUCCUAUCUCAUAUACUAAAUAUGUAUAUGCCUUCAGACCCGCACUCAUAAAGUAACUAAAGUCAAAAAAUGAAUUAAAAUAGCCAAUCAUAGUACAGAUAAAGGAUAACACAUAAAUACAUAGUAAAGAACGGGACAUCUAUUAAGUAUCCAGGUUAAAAAUUUUACCAAGUAAUGCUUAGUUUAAUUCCUAAUCGAUUAUGUUAGCAGGAAGCAAAUGACUAGAGCUUAAAGCCUAAGACAUCAAAUAUAUAUCAUAAAUUAAAACAAGUCAUGAGGAUCUUUCUCAAGAAAUGCUCUAUCUUUAUUCUUUAGACAUAGGAGUCUAUAUAAUGUAAACAAGAACACUCUAAGACCUAAACAAGAUACCUCAAAAAAAAAAAAAAAAAAAAANGAAUAUAUGCUUACUCUCCUCAUAUACCAGGUAAAACUUUUUCCUUGUAUAUUCAAUUUUUAUUUUAUUUAUUAACAUGACCAGGUGUAUUCAUAGAUUACACUACUUGGGACAGGGGUGCGGUUUCCAGGUUUGACUCACCCUGGGGUCAUUGGAACUGCGCCUUCAGCUGAGCUCCUUAACAUUUGGAAUAAGAGGGAAAGAGAGCUUGUAGAAACUGGGCACCAGUCAACAAAAUUAUGUGAGGUGCUGCAUACUCGACCACUGGCACAUCUACCUUCAACAAAAGGAUGCCACCUUGGCAAGGUAUGUAAUAAUCAUCAGACAUUCUUACCUUGUGUGCUCUAGAAGGCUAACUACUUAUUCCUGGAAUUUUAAAACAAUAGCACAUAUUUAUAUACUACAACAUUACUAAGG